AUUGAACGCUGGCGGCAGGCCUAACACAUGCAAGUCGAGCGGAUGAAGGGAGCUUGCUCCUGGAUUCAGCGGCGGACGGGUGAGUAAUGCCUAGGAAUAUGCCUGGUAGUGGGGGAUAACGUCCGGAAACGGGCGCUAAUACCGCAUACGUCCUGAGGGAGAAAGUGGGGGAUCUUCGGACCACACGCUAUCAGAUGAGCCUAGGUCGGAUUAGCUAGUUGGUGGGGUAAAGGCCUACCAAGGCGACGAUCCGUAACUGGUCUGAGAGGAUGAUCAGUCACACUGGAACUGAGACACGGUCCAGACUCCUACGGGAGGCAGCAGUGGGGAAUAUUGGACAAUGGGCGAAAGCCUGAUCCAGCCAUGCCGCGUGUGUGAAGAAGGUCUUCGGAUUGUAAAGCACUUUAAGUUGGGAGGAAGGGCAGUAAGUUAAUCCCUUGCUGUUUUGACGUUACCAACAGAAUAAGCACCGGCUAACUUCGUG
rnacentral:rRNA from 1 species